rnacentral:rRNA from 1 species
CAGGAUGAACGCUAGCUACAGGCUUAACACAUGCAAGUCGAGGGGCAGCAUGGUCUUAGCUUGCUAAGGCCGAUGGCGACCGGCGCACGGGUGAGUAACACGUAUCCAACCUGCCGUCUACUCUUGGACAGCCUUCUGAAAGGAAGAUUAAUACAAGAUGGCAUCAUGAGUCCGCAUGUUCACAUGAUUAAAGGUAUUCCGGUAGACGAUGGGGAUGCGUUCCAUUAGAUAGUAGGCGGGGUAACGGCCCACCUAGUCUUCGAUGGAUAGGGGUUCUGAGAGGAAGGUCCCCCACAUUGGAACUGAGACACGGUCCAAACUCCUACGGGAGGCAGCAGUGAGGAAUAUUGGUCAAUGGGCGAGAGCCUGAACCAGCCAAGUAGCGUGAAGGAUGACUGCCCUAUGGGUUGUAAACUUCUUUUAUAAAGGAAUAAAGUCGGGUAUGGAUACCCGUUUGCAUGUACUUUAUGAAUAAGGAUCGGCUAACUCCGUGCCAGCAGCCGCGGUAAUACGGAGGAUCCGAGCGUUAUCCGGAUUUAUUGGGUUUAAAGGGAGCGUAGAUGGAUGUUUAAGUCAGUUGUGAAAGUUUGCGGCUCAACCGUAAAAUUGCAGUUGAUACUGGAUAUCUUGAGUGCAGUUGAGGCAGGCGGAAUUCGUGGUGUAGCGGUGAAAUGCUUAGAUAUCACGAAGAACUCCGAUUGCGAAGGCAGCCUGCUAAGCUGCAACUGACAUUGAGGCUCGAAAGUGUGGGUAUCAAACAGGAUUAGAUACCCUGGUAGUCCACACGGUAAACGAUGAAUACUCGCUGUUUGCGAUAUACUGCAAGCGGCCAAGCGAAAGCGUUAAGUAUUCCACCUGGGGAGUACGCCGGCAACGGUGAAACUCAAAGGAAUUAACGGGGGCCCGCACAAGCGGAGGAACAUGUGGUUUAAUUCGAUGAUACGCGAGGAACCUUACCCGGGCUUAAAUUGCAGAUGAAUUACGGUGAAAGCCGUAAGCCGCAAGGCAUCUGUGAAGGUGCUGCAUGGUUGUCGUCAGCUCGUGCCGUGAGGUGUCGGCUUAAGUGCCAUAACGAGCGCAACCCUUGUUGUCAGUUACUAACAGGUUCCGCUGAGGACUCUGACAAGACUGCCAUCGUAAGAUGUGAGGAAGGUGGGGAUGACGUCAAAUCAGCACGGCCCUUACGUCCGGGGCUACACACGUGUUACAAUGGGGGGUACAGAGGGCCGCUACCACGCGAGUGGAUGCCAAUCCCCAAAACCUCUCUCAGUUCGGACUGGAGUCUGCAACCCGACUCCACGAAGCUGGAUUCGCUAGUAAUCGCGCAUCAGCCACGGCGCGGUGAAUACGUUCCCGGGCCUUGUACACACCGCCCGUCAAGCCAUGGGAGCCGGGGGUACCUGAAGUGCGUAACCGCGAGGAGCGCCCUAGGGUAAAACUGGU